rnacentral:rRNA from 1 species
CCUCCCCGCCGGAAGACCAAGGGUUCCUGUCCAACGCUAAUCGGGACAGGGUUAGUCGGCCCCUAAGGCGAGGGCGAAAGCCGUAGUCGAUGGAAAACAGGUUAAUAUUCCUGUACUCGCUAUUGCUGCGAUGGAGUGACGGAGAAGGCUAGGCCAGCAUGGCGAUUGGUUGUCCAUGUUUAAGGUUGUAGGCUGGGGACUUAGGCAAAUCCGGGUCCCUAAGGCUGAGAACUGAUGACGAGUCUCUUUUAGAGACGAAGUGGUUGAUGCCCUGCUUCCAGGAAAAACUUCUAAGCUUCAGGCAAUAGUGAACCGUACUCUAAACCGACACAGGUGGUCAGGUAGAGAAUACCAAGGCGCUUGAGAGAACUCUGGUGAAGGAACUAGGCAAAAUGGUACCGUAACUUCGGGAGAAGGUACGCCGGUUUUGGUGAUGGGACUUGCUCCCUAAGCUGAGGCCGGUCGAAGUGACCAGGUGGCUGCGACUGUUUAUUAAAAACAUAGCACUCUGCAAACACGUAAGUGGACGUAUAGGGUGUGACGCCUGCCCGGUGCCGGAAGGUUAAUUGAUGGGGUUAGCUUCGGCGAAGCUCUUGAUCGAAGCCCCGGUAAACGGCGGCCGUAACUAUAACGGUCCUAAGGUAGCGAAAUUCCUUGUCGGGUAAGUUCCGACCUGCACGAAUGGCGUAACGAUGGCCACGCUGUCUCCACCAGAGACUCAGUGAAAUUGAAAUCGCUGUUAAGAUGCAGUGUACCCGCGGCUAGACGGAAAGACCCCGUGAACCUUUACUACAGCUUUGCACUGAACUUUGAGCCUAUUUGUGUAGGAUAGGUGGGAGGCUUUGAAGCAGCGACGCUAGUUGUUGUGGAGCCGUCCUUGAAAUACCACCCUGGUAUGUUUGAGGUUCUAACUCUGGUCCGUUAUCCGGAUCGAGGACAGUGUAUGGUGGGUAGUUUGACUGGGGCGGUCUCCUCCCAAAGAGUAACGGAGGAGUACGAAGGUGCACUCAGCAUGGUCGGAAAUCAUGCAAUGAGCAUAAUGGUAUAAGUGCGCUUGACUGCGAGACAGACAUGUCGAGCAGGUACGAAAGUAGGUCAUAGUGAUCCGGCGAUUCUGUAUGGAAGGGUCGUCGCUCAACGGAUAAAAGGUACUCCGGGGAUAACAGGCUGAUACCGCCCAAGAGUUCACAUCGACGGCGGUGUUUGGCACCUCGAUGUCGGCUCAUCACAUCCUGGGGCUGAAGCCGGUCCCAAGGGUAUGGCUGUUCGCCAUUUAAAGUGGUACGCGAGCUGGGUUUAGAACGUCGUGAGACAGUUCGGUCCCUAUCUGCCGUGGGCGUUGGAGAUUUGAGAAGAGUUGCUCCUAGUACGAGAGGACCGGAGUGAACGAACCUCUGGUGUUCCGGUUGUCACGCCAGUGGCAUUGCCGGGUAGCUAUGUUCGGACGGGAUAACCGCUGAAAGCAUCUAAGCGGGAAGCCUCCUUCAAGAUAAGAUCUCCCUGGGAACUUGAUUCCCCUAAAGGGCCGUGGAAGACUACCACGUUGAUAGGCUGGGUGUGGAAGCGUUGU